rnacentral:rRNA from 1 species
UGGGGAAUAUUGCACAAUGGGCGCAAGCCUGAUGCAGCCAUGCCGCGUGUGUGAAGAAGGCCUUCGGGUUGUAAAGCACUUUCAGCGAGGAGGAAGGUGGUGAGCUUAAUACGCUCAUCAAUUGACGUUACUCGCAGAAGAAGCACCGGCUAACUCCGUGCCAGCAGCCGCGGUAAUACGGAGGGUGCAAGCGUUAAUCGGAAUUACUGGGCGUAAAGCGCACGCAGGCGGUUUGUUAAGUCAGAUGUGAAAUCCCCGGGCUCAACCUGGGAACUGCAUUUGAAACUGGCAAGCUAGAGUCUCGUAGAGGGGGGUAGAAUUCCAGGUGUAGCGGUGAAAUGCGUAGAGAUCUGGAGGAAUACCGGUGGCGAAGGCGGCCCCCUGGACGAAGACUGACGCUCAGGUGCGAAAGCGUGGGGCAGCAAACAGGAUUAGAUACCCUGGUAGUCCACGCUGUAAAACGAUGUCGAUUUUGGAGGUUGUGCCCUUGAGGCGUGGCUUCCGGAGCUAACGCGUUAAAUCGACCGCCU